rnacentral:rRNA from 1 species
CCUACGGGUGGCAGCAGUGAGGAAUAUUGGUCAAUGGACGAGAGUCUGAACCAGCCAAGUAGCGUGAAGGAUGACUGCCCUAUGGGUUGUAAACUUCUUUUAUAUGGGAGUAAAAUGUUCCACGUGUGGGAUUUUGUAUGUACCAUAUGAAUAAGGAUCGGCUAACUCCGUGCCAGCAGCCGCGGUAAUACGGAGGAUCCGAGCGUUAUCCGGAUUUAUUGGGUUUAAAGGGAGCGUAGGUGGAUUGUUAAGUUAGUUGUGAAAGUUUGCGGGUCAACCGUAAAAUUGCAGUUGAAACUGGCAGUCUUGAGUACAGUCGAGGUGGGCGGAAUUCGUGGUGUAGCGGUGAAAUGCUUAGAUAUCACGAAGAACACCGAUUGCGAAGGCAGUUCACUGGACUGCAACUGACACUGAGGCUCGAAAGUGUGGGUAUCAAACAGGAUUAGAUACCCUUGUAGUC